CCCUGACUACUCUAGACGGUGCGCCCCGCCGCACGCCGGGGCUGCCUCCUUGCAGUCCUAAGAACUGAGCCUGGAGCAGCCCCGGCACUUCCCUGCAGAGGCUGCGGAGGCGAACUGCGCAGGAAGAGAGCUGGGGACCGAGGUGGAGUGGGCGGUCCCGGCCUUCCAGAGUGACGGGCUGCUCCACCUACCAAAAAUCCCGAACGCCAUGCAAAUACAGGCACUUCGCCGAGCUCACAGCAGCCAACCCUCUCCCAAGACGUGGGGGUGUGGAAAGGCUUCUGGGCGGUGUAGGGCGGUCGGGGAUUGCCAUUGGCUGCAGAACAAGGGGCGGGCCCAGAGGGGCGGAGUUAGGGGCUGGUGACAGGAGCAGAUGGUGGAAAGAAUGCUGCAGUGACCGAGCGCUGGGAGAGGUCCUACCCUACUGAGUGGUGCCUUCCCGCACCCGCAUGCAUUUCCGUACUCGUUCCCUAGAAGUCAGCCUUGGCGGUAGUUGCCCAGAUGUUGGGACACGAGUCCCCAUCCAGAUGUUUCGCAGGAGGUUUCGUGAUGCUUACGUGUUGCAGAGUAGGGAGGCGGUUGGAGGAAGGAGACCAGGGCCGGAGAUGCACUAGGCACUCGAACCCCUCCUCCUCAACCCACGCCGGAGACUUAUUCGGAGGCCCCUCCUGAACAGGCACGGGAUUAGGAAGUUAAAGCAGAAAGGGUGUUUGGAAAUCGCUGUCGUGUGUGUGUGUGUGUGUGUGUGUGUGUGUGUGUGUGUGUUCUUUGCCUGGUUAGCUUGGCCUGCCGGUUAACUGAGAUCAGUGUAAAGUGUCCUUAACAAAAAUCUCCAGCCUUCCAAACUGCCCAAAGUAGGUUGGGGAGGGGAAAAGAGACAGGAGAAAUUAACAGGAAGAGAGAGUCUGGUAAAUGAAAGUUUCCUGGUCGAAACGUGUGUGGGGGAGUCAAGUGUAGGAAGUUUUAUCUGGAUAUGAGUUUGUUGGAGACUUUAGGUUUGAGAAAAUUUUCCGUCUCCCCCUUUUCCCUGAAUAGAUAUAAAGCCAACAUUUGCCUUAAUUUAGGAGACAGUUUGAUUUGCUAACCUGUGACAUGGAUUAUUUCGUGUUGUCAUUCGCCACACCUAUUUUAAAAGUCAGACAUCAAUUUGGAACAAAUCCAUCACUGAGGUGCACUUAUUUAAUAGUGAAAGUCUACUCGAAGGUACUCCCAACCACAUUUUCUUUGGCAGAAUGACCCACCCACCCGGGACUGGGGCGGAUAAGCGCGUCUUCCAAGAAACAGCAACCGCUAGCUGGGGGAAGUGUGGGUGAGCGGUGCUACGCUUUGCUGAAUUCUUGCCCAGGCGUUUGGAGUUCAGAAGCUCGAGAUCAAGUUCGUACUGGUCGUGUUCAGGAAGUUUUCGAUGUCUGCAACCCAACCUCUGCGGGGCCAGAGAACCUCCAACUCCCGGCUGCAAGCGGUUCCCGGGACAGAACAUUCCUUCCGAUUCUGACCCCAGCGCGACCCCCAGGGCUGAGUGUCACUCACGAAGUGACUCACCGGGAGCCGCCGCCUGCACUGUACUUACAUCACUGUCGGCGAAGGCUGGCGCAGUGGAACCGACCUGAGCCCUGGUCCCUCCACCACGCUGUCCAGGACCAGCCGCCAGCAGCCCGCCCCUCUCACUUCCUGAGUACAUGUUCCCAAGUGUCCCCGAGUUUACGCAGCCCCAUCCUGGGUCCGGUCCCCCACCUUCGGAAGCAAAUUGAGAAAGCCAGAUUGACUUUAACACCUCUGGUUUGAAAAUGUGCCUGAGCAGCGGUAAUGGUCAGAGAGGAUUCAGAUAGCACAGCCGCCAGCACCGGACCCGUGCGCCCCGGCUGUGCUACGGGAGACUUCUUUGCAACUACUUUGAGCCCAAGACGUUUUCUUACAAAACUGUUGAGGGAGAAAUAAAUGAGGCAGAGGGUUUCCCUCCCGCUUUUAUAUUCUCAGCAAUAACUUCUUUCUAGCUUUUCUUUCCCUCUCUCACUGGGAGGUUGUUUGUUCUUCGAAAUGACUUAUUCGCUCUUAAUUUUUAAAAUCUAAUCCAUUUAUUUUAAACUUCUAAAACAUGAGAACAAGUGUAUUUCUGAGCACUAACCCGACUCUACUUGGAAAUGUGAGGAGAAAAUAGUGUCUCCGUAGGGAGCGUCUUCAAAUUUUAUGUUAUUUAGGUGGAAAAUUCAUGUUGUAUAGGUGUGUGUUAGGCGAAUUGUAGCUCCCAUGUGGCUAACGUCAGGCCUGCCUGGGUGUGAGUCUUCCAGUGUUUUAAGGAUUUUGGUAAUGCCAAUAAAAAAGGUCCCUGUUCUGAGGAUUAGUACAGUCUACUAAGUGAGCAAUUACAAAUCGAGGCAGCUGAACACAUUUGACAUUUCUUUUUUCAGGGGGUGGAUUGAGGGAAGAAGGGAGUAGAGGUAAAGAUGUGGGCGUCGGAAAUUGUUCUGACUGCAGAGCAGAGCUGAGCUCCCACAGCUGAGUCUAGGGCGGGGCCCACCCAGCGUUCAUUCAAUUCUCACUAUUGAGAACGAUAAGGGAGUUCGCGGUGCUCACCGUGCCGCAGGGCCUUCCCGGCACAACGUUGGAGAGUCGUCUGGGGCCUGGACAGCGCCCGGGCGGGCUGGGAAGCGGCGCCAGAGGACGACCUGGGCGGCGAACUCACGCUUUGGCCCUUUUGCCCACGCAGCUGAUCCUCCCAUUGCUCUAGAGAGUCGCAGUCUCUGCCGUGAAAUUCCCACGCUGGGCAGUCGCUCUUGCUCCACCCUUGGCAAGCGCUACCUCUCCCAACCAUAUUCCCAUUCCGCAGAUGCAGAAGCCAAGGUUCAAACCUGGACAGAACUGGUAGCCAAAUUAACCGUGAACCCAGUUUGAGCUUCUGCCCUUAACCUUUGCUCAGCAGUGCGGUGGUCCCCACGCUUGGAUCCUGGGCAUCAGCGAACUGCCACCACUAAAACCGAGGGAAAGUUUUACCUCUGAUAAACUCAUUCAAAAUGUUUGCAUUUGGAAAUGGAGAAAGGAGAGAAUUCUAUUUCAGCACGCCUAUAUGGUUUGUGUUUUAUUUUGGUCGGUUUAUUUGGUAUUACCUAAUGGGGUGCGCAGCUAGGGCCUCUGAGGGCAUCUGGGAGGCAGCUCCUCUCUUUUAGGACAGGGCAGGGCCGCCACAGGGGCUCUCUCCUCUCCCUCUUUCCCCAGGUACUGCUGCCAACAACCCUCUGUGCGAGCCCAAUCGGGUCACUCUAAAAUUUCACAUCUGUAGAAUGGGACACUUGAGCCAAAAGAUCCCCGCAGUAUUUUCCGCCUGAAGUUUCUCAGAUUCUAGGCUCGUGAUGGGAGGCUCCGCAGCUGCUCGAGCCCUGCGGCCGGCUCCGCCUCCCCAACAGCCGCCCUCCGGGGCCGAGCUCCCCCAUACCCUCUGCGGGACCGCAAAGCAGGCGUUUCCUGGGGCCGCCUGGACCGGUGGCCCAGAGCCCCCGUUCCUGCCACCGGAAUCCGGACCCUCCUCCCGCGCCCCUAGCCAGCGAGGCGGCGCCUCGGGGGUUAGCAGCUGCGAGCUCGCUCCGCCUUCUUCGGCUGCCCGGGUGUGAAGGGCAGUCGGCGCCGCAGCGGCUCCGAUGCCCGCCCGGAAGGGAGCGCUCUGGUCCCGGUCUCGCAGCUGCGGGACAGCCGGGAGCGGAGCAGGGGGCAGCCGCGGCCAGUUGUCUCCCCAGUGGACUGGGAAAGGAACUUUGUCUCGGCCUGGACUCCCGCUGUACCUUUGUUGGGGGUUAGUGGGGAGACUGCGGUCGUCAGAGCUCCUGGAUGUCGCGGGCGCCGCGAUCCCCUCUUCCCCUAUAAGGGCCGAGGGCGCUGCUCGACGCUUGGGAACCCCUGGCCAGAGACCGGCACUGGCGCGGCCCCGCGGAUGCCGCUGGCCAAGCCGACGACAGAGAUGAGAAAUUCCUUGCAAGAGUGGCUGGAAGCCCCCGCGGAGAAGGAAUAAGCGCUUCCCAGAGCGAGCUCCCACUGCGCCUUGGGAAUGGUGCACUCUCCAGUCCCAGCUGGACCCUCUGACAUUGUCACAGGAAGCGCUGCCAUGUAUGAGGAGCCCUCUGCAAACUACAGGCGAAGGAUGACUGCUCUUGGCCUAUCAAUAAGAUUUUGACACUCAGGUUGGUUUGAUGACUUGUGUCAUGAGGAGUAGGGGUGUGGGCUGAUUCCAAAUUCUUCUUCCACGCGGCAUCCUGCUCUGGGCCGGAGCCUCCCUUGUCUCCUAGAGAAUGGGGCAGGGAAUGGAAGGAUGGGGAGCCUGAGGGAGAGGCCGCUAUUCCGCAGGCUGUCUCCUGGCUGGCUCCUGAAGGGCUGGCUGCUUCCCCCACCUGGAAGUCCAGGCCCCUGUCGGGAAGUCCUCUCCGCACAGCCUGACAAUCACCUGGUUCUGUUACAAUUGUUCUCCUCACGCUUCAGGCCUACGACGGCAAGGACAGCUCCCACUUACCAGAGCCAAGGCACGAUGCCGUUCCUGGGUGUCCUCUUCUCCUCCAGCUCCUUUGUAAGUCACAUGCUCCUCUAUUGACCGGCAUAUGAUACACCAGAGCUGCCUUGCUUUUCCGAAUCUGGUCAAGCUGUAGAACACUUCUGAGCCUCGGUACCACCAGCCAUCUGUGGUCCUCCAUUUGUCCUCUUCUCCUACAAAUACCUCCAGCCCCUCUCUUCCUCCAUGAUGCUUCUAGCAUUGGAAAUCCUCCAGGACAAUUCUGCCUUCAACUUUCCUGGCCGGAGCCACUGAGUUGAUGGAGGGAAACAUGAUAGAGAUGACUGGUCCUGCUUUAAUUUUCGCACUCCUAUGAGCACAUAAAGGUGCUCUGCCACUCUCCUAAGUGUCCCCAGGAGGCCCGCUUUCCCAGUCUCUGAGACAAACAUUUCUUAGCCUUCUCUCCUGCAAGAGAUAUUUCUCAAAGUGUCUUUGAACAUGUAGAUACUGACAGAAGAUGAUCUAUCCUUUCCACCACCAAACCUCCACACCAGUUGGCACUCCACCCUUGUCACAGGGAGGAAGUUGCAGGCUAGUUCCAGCAGACAGUGAACCUCAGUAGUGCUUUGCUUCUCAGCCUUUGCCAUCUCCUUGUCCCUGAGCCAUCUCCCUGUGGCGGACACUGAUGGGCCACCAGCACUGCAUCAGUGAAGGACUUGCUGCCCGAGCCACUGGCAUGCUGUCAACGUGGCCUCCUGCAGCCCGCCUCUCCACCAUUGCAGAGAGCAGCUAGGCUGGAGGGCUGUCCUGCAGCUGCGAGGCCGGGACCAGAGUCCUCCCUUCGGGCGGGCAUCAGAGCUUCUCCAACGCCAUUGGAGUAUGGUUUCCUAAAUGGUACCUCUAAAGGGGACACUGUGUUCCUCCCAUCAGAGGAUGCAACAACAAAUGCAAUGUCAUGGAAGUGGAGAGCAGCCCUUGCCAGACACCAAACCCAUCAGCACCUUGAUUUUAGACUACCAGCCUCCAGGACAAUUUGACCAUGCGCCUUGAUUUGUCCAAUGACACAUCAGCAAACAUGACUCAAGUGGAGUUGUAAGAAGCCCUUGUGCAUUGGGGCAUAUUGGAACAUUGCCACCACUUUCUUCAUGAUGAAAGAUCUCUUGGAGACAGAAGCCCAACCAGCUCAUCUGCCUCCGAGACUCAACUGAGCUCAGUUCCCAACUGCCCCUCCAGAUGAACAUUGCCACCUAAGUGGGAUGCAUAAAAGAACUACCCAGCUAGCCAACAGGAUCACAAGAAACAAUACACUGUCAUCUUAAGUCAUUAAGUUUUGAGGUCGUUUCUUAUGCAGCAAUUGAUAAUGGAAACAGUGGGUAUCUUUAAGUUUGUUAUAGACAUA